CCCAAAAAUAAAGCAGUUUUACAAAAUUGUUAAAAUGUAAACUUUUAGUUAUUUAUUGGACAGUAGAAUGCUUCUGCUACAUAAAUAUGGGCUGUUUUUGACAAUACAAUGCACAUAUAUCGGGUACUAGCAUCAUUAAGUCAUGCUAAAUUACUGAAAUCUUCACAAUUCUAGCAUUUUAGUUAAAUUUUUGACAGUUUUCGUGUGAAACGAAAGUGGCCGCAUUCGUGUUCAUCC
rnacentral:lncRNA from 1 species